GCUGGGUAUGGUAGUGCAUACCUGUUAUCCCAGCUACUCAGGAGGCUGAGGUGGGAGGAUCGCUUAAGCCCAGGAGUUCGAGGCUGCAGUGAGCCAAGAUCACACCACUGCACUCCAGCCUGGGCACCAGAGUGAGACCCUGUCUCUA
rnacentral:SRP_RNA from 1 species